GACGAACGCUGGCGGCGCGCUUAACACAUGCAAGUCGAGCGAAGCGGCGGACGGGUGAGUAACACGUGAGUAACCUGCCUUAGACAUUGGGAUAGCCUCGGGAAACCGGGAUUAAUACCAAAUGGUCUAAGAUGGACUCGCGUCCUAUCAGCUUGUUGGUGGGGUGAUGGCCUACCAAGGCGGUGACGGGUAGCCGGCCUGAGAGGUUGACCGGCCACAUUGGGACUGAGAUACGGCCCAGACACCUACGUGAGGCAGCUGUGGGGGAUAUUGCACAAUGGGCGAAAGCCUGAUGCAGCGACGCCGCGUGGGGGAUGAAGGCUUUCGGGUUGUAAACCUCUUUCGCUAGCGAAAGGGUAGGUGGAGAAGAAGCGCCGGCUAACUACGUGCCAGCAGCCGCGGUAAUAC
rnacentral:rRNA from 1 species